UGACCAGACUCCUACGGGAGGCAGCAGUGAGGAAUAUUGGUCAAUGGCUGGAAGGCUGAACCAGCCAAGCCGCGUGAAGGACGAAGGUGCCAAGCAUUGUAAACUUCUUUUGUCAAGGGACAAAAUCAGGCUCGAGAGCCUGACCGAGGGUACUUGAAGAAAAAGCAUCGGCUAACUCCGUGCCAGCAGCCGCGGUAAUACGGAGGAUGCGAGCGUUAUCCGGAUUUAUUGGGUUUAAAGGGUGCGUAGGGGGGCUGUUAAGUCGGGGGAAAAGGCCGGGGGCCCAACCCCGGGGAGCCGUUGAAACUGGCUGUCUUGAGAUGUCGAGAGGUAUGCGGAAUGCGCAGUGUAGCGGUGAAAUGCUUAGAUAUUGCGCAGAACUCCGAUUGCGAAGGCAGCCUACCGGCUCCUAUCUGACGCUGAGGCACGAAAGCGUGGGUAUCGAACAGGAUUAGAUACCCCUGUAGC
rnacentral:rRNA from 1 species